GUGCUCAUUUCAGCAGCACAUAUAUUAAAAUUGGAACGAUACAGACAUUAGCAUGACCCCCUGUGCAAGGAUGACAUGCAAAUUUGUGAAAUGUUCCAUAUUUAA